ACUAACUAGGAUUCCCUUAGUAGCGGCGAGCGAAACGGGAAGAGCCCAGCACCGAAUCCCACGCCGCCUGUUCGGCGUCGGGAAAUGUGGUGUUUGAGAGCGUCCUUUAACUCGCGACGACGUGGUAGAGUCCAAGUCCGACCGUGGAACGAGGCCAUUAACCCACAGAGGGUGACAGGCCCGUAGAGACCGCUGCAAGUCGCGAGCGAGGUCGUCUCUUUAGAGUCGGGUUGCUUGAGAGUGCAACCUUAAGUGGGUGGUAUACUCCAUCUAAGGCUAAAUAUUGUCACGAGACCGAUAGCGAACAAGUACCGUGAGGGAAAGUUGAAAAGAACUUUGAAGAGAGAGUUCAACAGUACGUGAAACCGUUCAGGGGUAAAGCGCAUGAAACCCGAAUAUCGAGGUGUCGAGUAUCAACGCCGACGCGUUUAUCCGGAGGAGUUCUCGCGUCUUGCCAAAGCGUGGUGGAGGUUUCGGCCUCUUGCCAUCAGGCGGCGGGGCUCUAUACGCUCUGGGCGUUCGGCGUGCACUACUCGCACGGUAGAUCGUCGCGACCGGCUGGGCUUGAUUUAGCCGAUAUUAUAAAGGCAACAGGGUUCUAAAGGCUCGGGCUUUAACGAGCAGUCCGGAACCACCGUUUUCGGACGGUCAGUACGGAUUGCGAAGCUCGGUGACCUGAUCCCGGCCCGGCCGUAUCGAACGAUGGCAAUUUAUAACAAAGGCUCCCCUAUACAGGGGUCCCGAUCGUUGUCCGAUCCGGAAGAUGAAUUCUCUCGUAUCCGUGGUCCGUCAUCUCGGCGUAAGCCGGGCUCUGGCGGACACAAAACGCGGUUCGGGAAACUUUCGGGUCAUCGGCGACGAUGUCACGGGACUGAGUCUUUUGCCGAGUCGUGCGGCGUAUUUGUUUCGGGGCUUCACGCGANNNNNNNNNNNNNNNNNNNNNNNNNNNNNAGCAAAUAGGCGAGCUCGCGGGACCGCAAACCCGCGAGCGCCGUGAAGGCGCGUGCCGGCCGGAGCGAUCCGGUCGGCGCGCGCGUCGGGCGCCCGCGCCUCUGGCGCGCGCCUAAGAAACGAUCGGCCGCAAGACGUUCGCGUCUGGCCGCGCAGUUUCGGGACGGUCUCGUCCUCAUUGCGAGGGGAGCCGUACUCCGAGUCUAUAUGCUGGUACCCGAAAGAUGUGUGAACUAUGCGUGACAAGAAUUAAGUUAGGGGAAACCCUGAUGUAAGUUCGCUACCGAUUCUGACGUGCAAAUCGAUCGUCUGAGUCAAGUAUAGGGGCGAAAGACCAAUCGAACCAUCUAGUAGCUGGUUCCUCCCGAAGUUUCCCUCAGGAUAGCUGGGACCCGAGACGAGCAGUCGCAUGUGGUAAAGCGAAUGAUUAGAGGUAUUGGGGCCGAAACGGCCUCAACCUAUUCUCAAACUUUUAAUGAGUGCGCACCGCCCGCUUACGCUGUAGCAGGCGAAGCGGCGGUCAGA
rnacentral:rRNA from 1 species